ensembl:lncRNA
GAGGGGAACAGCAUGUUGCUGAUUAUAGUUUAAAUGUGGCAAUUUCCUUUGCAAAUAGCCAAUCAUCAACCAAGAAACGUUUCCUAAACCCUACUAUGUGCCAGGUGCUAAGACUCUGAAAGCCUAAUACCUCGUCAUUGUGGUUAUUUGUCUUUCAUUCUCGAAGAGGACCAUGACAUCAGGGAGGUGAGGCCGUGACAUGCGAAUGGAUUGGAUUUAAACGAGGGAGGGCUGUGCAAAGUCAUCAGCCUCACUCUUUCCUCCAGAGCCAUCUGGGUCCAGUGGCCAGAUAUAGAUCAAGAUGACUGGAGAUGGCCCUGGAUGCACUGGGAGACUCUCAUCACAGAAAAGAGGAAGGCUUCCUACUCUGUCUCCGUCUUUUCAAAGAGUGCCCAGAUAGGUGGUGGAGUCAUUGGGCUCUCAUCAUCAUCACCAUCAUUAUUAAUGAAAGUACCUAAGAAAUUUGCCUCAGAACCAAUCAAUGAACCUAUAUUGAUUAAGCACCUACUAUGUGCCAGGAAUAAGCACUGGGGAUAUGAAUACAAAAGUGAGAACAUUCCUGACCUCAAGGAACUUGGAUUCUACUGGAGGAGACAAACUAUACCCAUAUAAGCUUAUACAAAAUAUAUACAGUACAAGGUAAUUUUUUUCAGGGGGAAAUACUAGCAACCAGGGUAGGUCAGUAAAGGCCUUAUGUAGAACACAUCAUUUGAGCUCAUAUCUGAAGGGACCUAGAGAGUCUGAGAGACAGAGGCAAGGAGGAGGAACUUUCCAAGUAUGAGGCUGUUGCCUAUGAAAAGAUACGGAACCAAAAGGUAAAAUGCCAUAUGUGAGGAAUAGUUUGAAGGCUAGUUUGAAUGGACUAUAUAGUGUGCUUGAGGAGAAGUAAUACACAAAAGUCUAGAAAUGUUAAAAUGGGGUCAGAUCUAAAAGAGUUUUUGAUGCCAAACAGAGGAGUUUAUAUUUGAUCCUAGACUGGCAGCCACUGGAGUUUAUUGAGAAGAGGAAGAAUUAAUCUAAAUUCAUCAUAAUGGCUGGCAUCAUCAGUUGGGGAAAGGUCAAGGCAACAAGCAUUUAUUAAGCUUCUACUAUGUGCCAGACAGUGCUGGGGAUACAAAGAGAGCCCCAAACAGCCCCUACCCUUGAGAGGCUCACAGUCUAAUGAGGGAAAUGAUACACAAACAAUUCUACCCCUACCCUUGAGAGGCUCACAGUCUAAUGAGGGAAAUGAUACACAAACAAUUCUACACAAACACAAUAUAUACAAGACAACAAAUUGUGGCACAUGAAAGAUGCCAUUCAAUAUUAUGAUUCUGAAAGAAAAAUGAAUUUGAAGACCUCAGAGAAGAAUGGCAAGAUUUAUCUCAACUGAUAGAAGGUGAAAGAAGAAAGAAAGAAAGAGAAAGAAAGGAAGAAAGAAAAAGGAAGAAAAAAGAAAGGAAGGAAGGAGGAAAGGAAAGAAGGAAGGAAGAAAGAAAAAAAGGAAAGAAGGAAGGAAGGAAGUUAAGGAAGGAAGAAAGAAAAAGAAAGAAAGAAAGAAAGAAAAAAGAAAGAAAGAAAAAGAAAAAAUAAUAUACAUAAUGAUGACAGCAAUGUAAAUGGAAACUCAUUCUAUGUAAUAAUGAAGAUCACACCUGGACGCAGGGAAGAGUUGAAGAAAUUCCCCUCCUUCCUUUCUUAACAGAAGUGGGGACUCCAGGUGUGUGGAUGACGUUGCUAAUGAAGUUGGUUAGUUUAUAGGAACUAUUUUUUUUCCUUUUUUUUCCUUUUUACAAGGCUCUCUGGUGUGGGGAGGGGAGAUAAAUUUGAAAAUGAGGAUCAGGAUAAUCUAAAAUCAAAAGAUAGCAAUAAAAUAAGAUUUUAAAAACCCA